CCUACGGGAGGCAGCAGUAGGGAAUAUUGGGCAAUGGAGGCAACUCUGACCCAGCCAUGCCGCGUGCAGGAUGAAGGCGUUAUGCGUUGUAAACUGCUUUUAUAUAGGAAGAAAUAGACCUUGCGAGGUAAGUUGACGGUACUAUAUGAAUAAGCACCGGCUAACUCCGUGCCAGCAGCCGCGGUAAUACGGAGGGUGCAAGCGUUGUCCGGAUUUAUUGGGUUUAAAGGGUGCGUAGGCGGUUUAUUAAGUCAGUGGUGAAAGACGGUCGCUCAACGAUUGCAGUGCCAUUGAUACUGGUAGACUUGAGUAUGAUUGAGGUAGCUGGAAUGGAUAGUGUAGCGGUGAAAUGCAUAGAUAUUAUCCAGAACACCAAUUGCGUAGGCAAGUUACUAAGUCAUAACUGACGCUGAUGCACGAAAGUGUGGGUAUCAAACAGGAUUAGAUACCCUGGUAGUCCACACUGUAAACGAUGAUAACUAACUGUUGGCUUUCGGGUCAGUGGUACAGAGAAAUCCGNUAAGUUAUCCAACCGUGGGGAGUUACGCCGGCGAACGGUUGAACGUUCAANAGAGUUAGAGCGNGAGAGNGCGACGCGACGACGAGGAGGAGG
rnacentral:rRNA from 1 species